GCAGCAGCCGCGGUAACACAGAGGGUGCGAGCGUUAAUCGGAUUUACUGGGCGUAAAGCGUGCGUAGGCGGCUUUUUAAGUCGGAUGUGAAAUCCCUGAGCUUAACUUAGGAAUUGCAUUCGAUACUGGGAAGCUAGAGUAUGGGAGAGGAUGGUAGAAUUCCAGGUGUAGCGGUGAAAUGCGUAGAGAUCUGGAGGAAUACCGAUGGCGAAGGCAGCCAUCUGGCCUAAUACUGACGCUGAGGUACGAAAGCAUGGGGAGCAAACAGGAUUAGAUACCCGGGUAGUCCCUGUCUCUUAUAC
rnacentral:rRNA from 1 species